rnacentral:tRNA from 1 species
GUCCCCAUCGUCUAGCGGCCUAGGACAGCAGCCUCUCACGUUGUUAACAGGGGUUCGAUUCCCCUUGGGGACG